UACGUAGGAGGCAAGCGUUGUCCGGAGUUACUGGGCGUAAAGCGCACGCAGGCGGUCGCAUCAGUCUGGGGUGACAGUUCCCGGCCUAACCGGGAAAGUGCUCUGGAAACUGUGCGACUUGAGGGCUUCAGAGGGAUGUGGAAUUCCAGGUGGAGUGGUGAAAUGCGUAGAUAUCGGAAGGAACACCGGUGGCGAAAGCGGCGCGCUGGAUCCCUACUGACGCUGAGGCACGAAAGCCAGGGGAGCAAACGGG
rnacentral:rRNA from 1 species